rnacentral:rRNA from 1 species
UACGUAGGGGGGCAAGCGUUGUCCGGAUUUAUUGGGCGUAAAGAGCGUGUAGGCGGCCAGAUAGGUCCGUUGUGAAAACUCGAGGCUCAACCUCGAGACGCCGAUGGAACCAUUUGGCUAGAGUCCGGAAGAGGAGAGUGGAAUUCCCGGUGUAGCGGUGAAAUGCGCAGAUAUCGGGAAGAACACCCGUGGCUAAGGCGGCUCUCUAGUACGGUACUGACGCUGAGACGCGAAAGCGUGGGGAGCGAACAGG